CAGCACUGAGGACUCCGGUGCGAGAAGCCGCCAUUUUCUCCGCGUCUUCGGAUGGAAUCGAGUGAAAGACGGUUUAUAUUCUCACUUAUUUCUGUCCAAAAGUAUUUUGAGAUGUAUUUGAAGGCGAAAAAAGUCAGAAAAGAACUUAGAUGGAAAUUUUCGCGGUUUUUGCCUCAUUCGUCUCAUGUCUCAACGGCCUCUUUUAUUGAAUCAAAGAGGCGUUUUUAAAUAUAGUGGGUUUCAUGUGUCAUAUUUACAAGUUUCUUGAAGUUUGUUAAUGGAAGGUUAUCAACAGAUUCACAUUUUAAUUCAUUAUUUUAUUUAUUUAUUUAUUUUUUUUUCAUCUUCGCGGUUAACCCGAAUGUAAUGACCUAGUUUUCCUUAAGGAAAUGAAACUGCGAUAUGUAAGUUAAUAAAGAUUGGUUUAUUAUGGUGUUGAAGCGAUAAUUGUUGAAAUUAAUGUUUUGCAUGUAAUAUUUCAGACUUGUUGCGCUUUGUGUGUUCGUUUGGCCCGCUCCGGGAGUAACUUAAACGACAGGCGACUGCUGUGCGAGGAUGCGCGAUUUUCUCAGCUACAGAAGAGAGGGAAAGACGAUUUAUGAUCAAGCCAGAGACCUAAGGAGUGCUUCAUUCUUUUGAGUUUAUAACUCAAACCAACUGUGGAGAGGAGCCCUUCUCUUUGGUCUUCCUUUCUUAAAGGAAUAGUGCACACAAAAAUAAAAAUUGUCACCAUUUACCCAACCUCAUGUCUUUCCAAACCCAUAAGACUUUUGUCCAUCUAUGAAACACAAAUGAAGAUAUUUUAAUAUUCUCAUCUUUUUUUUUUAUUUAUUUUUUAUCCAUUUACAGUUUAUAUAAUCAGUAUUUUUAAGCUUCACAAAUGCAAAGUUAUUGUAGUAAUCCAUACCAAUAUUUAUAUGUGAAUAAAAUUCUAAAUUAUAUCUGUUCAUAUAAUGUAAAGCAAUCAUGUCUGUUCAGAUUCAAAAAUGUUGACUCCCAGACUUGCAAUAGAUGGACAAAAAAUUGAGAGAAUAUUAAAAAUAUCUUCAUUUAUGUUUCAAAGAUUACCAAAAGUCUUAUGGUUUUGGAACGACAUGAGGGAGAGUAAAUUAUGACAGUUUUCUUUUUUGGGUGAACUAAUACUUUAAAGAGCAGCCCUCCAAGUUCAUCAGAAUGUGUGAGGGAUGAAUACUGGUCAAAAAGGAGAAUAACCUUCCCCAAUGAAGAUCACUGAUGUGACCGUGCUUUUAAAGGGGAAGAUUGUCCUGGACAAUUUAAAGGAUGCUGCAUGCCUUUGCUGUGCUGAUGGAGCUUCUUCAUGACUGGACAUCAGUUAUCCUAAGGAGGUCAGGAAAAUCUGCAGCGACGCGUGUUCUGAAUGUACUCAUGGACUCAACGAACUUUUAGCAUAUAAUCUGACAAAUGUUCAAUGCUUGUUCAUUGUUGUUUAAUGGAGGAAUUCACACUCUCAUUCAAACUCACAUUCUUUCACACGUCUUAGAGAAUUAUAUAACUAACAAAUGUUAUAAUGUCAGUGUUAAUGUUGUGGUUUGUGUUCAGUCAUGUUUGUAAAACAAACAAAAAAACUUUAGUCAUGUUAAAUAGUGUUAGUCUUAAAAUUCUUAGAUUUAGAUCUUAAAUUAAUAUAGCUCCAUAUUUUAGGCAACAAUAGAGAUUUUACACUCUAAAAAAUGCUGGGUUAAAAACAACCCAAUUUGGGUUAUUUUGGCAACCCAGCGCUGGGUCGUUUUGACCCAUCAAGUUGGGUUAAAUAUUUGACCCAGCAUGCUGGGUUGUUUUUUGUAACCUAAAUUUUGGUGUAAAAUGACUACAUUGCAGUAUUUAAAUUAACCCAAAUGAGUUUUUAAUUAAACCCAGUAAUCUUAGACAUUAUAAAAUCACUUGAACACACAGAAUGACUAUCAAAAGGUAAAAAUUUAUUAAAAACAAGGACAAGGGCAAACAUGGUCAAAAGUAACAACAUGCAUGUGAGAUGAAAAUCAGAAAAGAAUUGCAAAUAGACAGCCACACAGUUUAUACAGAAAUUAAAUUGUUUUUCACAUUUCAGUGAACAUUGAUGAAUAUAACUGGCAUUUAAGACCAAAUAAGACUUUUUUUUUUUUUGCAUAUUAUCCACCGCCAACAAAAACACUACACUAUAAAAUUAUUCACUGGUUUCAACUUUAAGUAAUUGUAUUAAAUAUUGCAAUAAUUUAUUCAAGCAAACAAAGGUAACAAGUUAACUUCCAAAGUUCACUCAAUUUCAAACUUAUAACUAUAAAUCCAUAACCUUAAGUUGUUUACAAAACUACUUGGUAAUAAUUAUCUAUAAGUGAAUUUGACCAUUUUUAAAAUGAUUCCUCACCUCCAGGCAUAUUAAUGAAGGAGCUCACACUAUAGCUAAAGCUGUAGCUAAAGUUCAACUUGCUCAGUCAGCUUGGUUCUGGUUUUCAAAACCCCUAAUAGCUUAUUCUCCAUUGUUGCAUCUUCAUGGAUGAGACAUGCAGAUAACUACAUACUGUAGUUCAAAGAUUAUUCAACCUUUAUUAAAUUAUAAUCACUGAACUCUUCAAGUUUGUCGAAAAAGUAAACAAUGAAUGUUUAACUUUCUAUAUUGUCAAAAUUAACAAUUGCAACAGUUCUAUCAUACCUAAAUUAAACUCAGUACAAAGAAGAAGAAAAAGUGUUCUCUUUUGAAUCCCCAUAUGCAAGAAUGUGAAUAAGGGCAGAAGUCAACAUCACAUAAAUGCCAGAAUGUAAAAUUUGUUAUUUUAUACAUUUAAAUAUGAUCUAUUUUUGUUUGUACUUUACAAAUUAACGCAAAAUUAGCGCAUAUCUUCUAGUACAAAUGCACAGUGCUCACAUUUAUUUGUGCAUUAAAAAAAAUACAAAUCAGCUUGUUGUGCCAUAUAUAGUGCUCACAUAAUUUGAUUGUCACUAGUGACAAUGUUGUUGUGACAGUGAUUGUUACUAGUAGGAAAAUCAUUUUAGAUGUC